ensembl:lncRNA
UUUUUUUUUUUUUUUACUGUCUUGCCUUUCCAAAAUUUGCAUUAUCAGAUACUUAUAAUCAAUUGCCUAAGCAGAAUGAAGAGUAUCACUCAGAAAGUUCUCCAUCUUCAUGGUGGCUACAGUGUGUUAUCCUGUGGUAUUUGGGCACUUGUAAACAGGAAUGAUUUCUGUCUCCUGAGAGGGCUGGGGCACAAGGAGCUGUCCUGGUUUUGCAGAGAGUUUAAUUUGGGUAUUGGCCAUAACACCAGAUAAGCCCUGUGGCUUUUUUAAAGUGGUGUUAGGAGUGAGGCACAGCCUGGCCAUGGUUUCAUAGCGAGUCUGGGGCCUUGAGCCCAUCAUACUUUUGACAACCAGCUCAAUGCAUUCUCUUGCUAAUCCACAGCCAUGCUUCACAAGGUAGUAGGAGAAGCCCUCUCACUGAGCACUUGUUAGCUUGCUUCUUUUGGGAGGGAAACUGAAAUUUCCAAAGUCGAGUCAUCAUUUUUUCUCUACCUUACUUUUGCAAAAUAAUAAGGUAAGGCUUCCUAAUGUGCAACCACUUGCAAUUAAUCAGGCAGUGACUGUGUCUGAGACGCUCAGGGAGCUCCCACUUGGAGCCAGGUUAAUCUGUUCUCAAAAUUUUGUGAUCUGCAGCCACAGUAGGAGCCAGGUGGCAGGAGCCUUUUGAAGAGACAGGAGUGUCAUCUAGAGGUGAAACAAACCUACUCAAUCUCACCCCAAGGGCCACCACCUGCCACCUUCCAUACAGAGCACUGGGUGACGCAUUUUGUUUCUGCCACACUUCAACAGUCUAAUGCAGAAUGCAUGGAUUAAUGCUUCUUUUAGCUUUCAUCCUUGUGGGAUUUCUAUUAUGCAGGCUAAUGGAAAAUAAUAUGAGCCCAUAGCUAACCAGGCAGCAGACACUAAUGGCUCUCCAACUGAGGUUCUUCUGUCCCUGUGAUGGAAUACAGGGAUGGUGUGGAUACAGGUGGUCCCUGUUCUCCUUGGAAACAGGGACCACCAGCUCCCCAGGAAUUGAGAAUUUUACAGCUUUAUUUACUUGUAUUGUGUGCUGCGUCCACUGAAGGAAUGGACAUUUGCGGUUUAGAGUAGAUUUUUUCCCUCAAACUCUUUUGCCUUCUUUCACACAUAAAUCCAGAUUUAUUAGUGAAGCAGAGCAUAAACCUUGUAUUUCUCUUGUAGUUGGUCAGAUAGGAAAGGAGAAACAUCUUCUCACCAGAAGCAUCACUAGCAGAGGAAGAUGCAGGGACAGGUGGCUGAACUGGUAACAAAGUGGAGAGGAGAAAUACUAGCUGGUUAUGUACAAUUUUCCUGAUGUGACUUCCUGGCAGUUGAUCACAAUAACUGUAAGGGAACAAACCCAGCUCGAGGUGUUGUGCAGGGGGAAAACAGACUUUGAAUCUAGUCAGCUAGAACUUAUCAUGUAAAAUUACUGCCAGUCAUUGCUCAGUACACAUUUUCCAAUGCAGAACUAGAAACCCACCUUUUUUUGGAACAAAGGGGGAUUCACCUUUUUUACAGCUGAUGCCAAGGCUUAAGAAAAAUCCCAGUGCUUCCCAGUUGAUUGGGGGCUGGUGGAUGGAGGAUGUGGAGCUACCCAGCCUUGGAGCAGUGGGCAGUAAAAAUCUGAGGAUCUAGUCCCUCUUCCAGGGAAACUAACUAAGGGCAUGCCUUGUUUUUCAAAUGGUCCUUCAUCUCCCACCAUUUCCUGCUAGAGUAGGUCUUGGGCAGUCAUGCCAUGCAGGUUUUGUGAUCCUAAGGGUGAAUACACAGGGGAAAAAAACCAAAAAAAAAACAACCGACAAAAAGCCUAAUAAAAAGCACUGAAUCCCUUUGCAAAGCUGGCGGCUGGCUGGGUGACACGGCACUGGGCAGAGCCCGGAUCAGCCAGGUAGUCAGGGGCUCUUGGCAAGCCGAGGGCAGCGAAGCAUAUGGGUCUUUCCCCUAUGUCACCGAGGGAAGGGGCUCGGGAGGCGCCAGCUCCCGCUCUUUGCCAGCCCGUCAGCUCCCACCUCCCGCUUCCCGGGAAAGCACACCCGGCGGCGCUUUCAUUUGUCAGCCCGCCUGCGUCAGCGCUAAUGCCGAGCUCAGCUGCUCAGCAUCCCAGCUGAUAACGUUGCGGGAGGAAUUAGGCAAGGCACGACGGUAGGAGGGAGAGAGAGGGCUUGAGGGAGAGUAAUGACAGGCACAGUGAUGGGAAAUAAAUGAGAUCAGAGAAAAAACAACCCUCAAACAGACUAUCCUCAGCCUAGAAGGGAGUGUUUUUGUAGGAGAUGGGGUUGUUUCAGUCCCAGCUGUGGGGAGCCACGGGAUAGUCCAGGUCUCCCUGGGAUUUCAGCAGGGUUUGCUUCAAGGCUAAAAUAAAGGAGUUGCCACAGGGCACUUGGCGUUCAGCUGAGUCGCUGAAAAGCUAAAUGGGUGGGCUGAGAGGCUGGGUUGUCCCCUUGUCCAUAGAUGGGAAGAGGCAGGGGAGGGCUCACAGAUGUUGCUUUUUCUGCAUGUGUGCUGUGCAGGAUUUCCUUCUUCAGAGAAAAGCAAAAGGGUUUUGCUCAAACAGCUUCUGCCUGAGAUGUGGAGCAGUCUUUCCCCAUGAAAACAGUGCUAAUAAGAAGAGGCCAUGCCACAGUCUGAUGAAACCCAGGGAGGCCCUGAACAUGCAAGCAGCCCCAUUCACUGCACGACAGCCAGCUGGAAUCCACUUCCCAAUAUCUCCCUCGACAGCAGACAGAGCAGAGUGCUCUGUCAAAAGAAGGCAUAUGUUUAAUCAGUUUUUGUGGUACUGUAAAACUCAAAUUUAAUUUGAAUUUUUAAAAUACACCUUGGCAUUUUAACCACUGCUGGCAGUAGAGCAGUUUUAUACUCCUUCUGGUUAUUUCUCUGCAGAAUAUAUAUCUUUCCACUGAACUUCAGUAAAUAUUUUGAAAACACUGUGGCAAGGUCAAGGAUGUUUUGCAAAAUCUUUAUCUGUGUAACCUAAAUGGACCUGGCAACAGAACAGAUUGUGCUCUGAACUUGGGGGAAAAGGUGAAAUAGCUAAUCCCCAUCAGAUUUGCUCUUUGUAUGUGGCAGUAAAUUCAGGGUGACUGUCUGUCUCUAAAUCCUGCAUGGCAUCUGGAGUUACAGUCCCUGGAUUGUCUGGUUUUCUGUACCUUGUAGCUGUUUGGUUCUCCCAAAAAGCCACGAAGUGACCUUUGAAGGAAAGUUGUGUAUCCAGAGCACCAGACCACAGAGACACAGACCAGAAUUCUCAGCUUAGAAAGCUGCCUUUCAUGGGCACCAGAGAAGAAAUAAGUAUCACAGUGCAGAAUGAGCUUUUUUUAAAUGAGUGUUGUGUCAUGACUAGCACAUCUAGAACCAAAUACUGUAAUAAUUUAUGCCCAUGUGUUGCUUUUUUUUUUGUGUGUGUGUGUGCAUGUGAUUAAUUUUGGACAUGCAUUUUUCCAUAUCUCCAGAAGUUCAGCAAAUUUCAGCAGCAAAUUAUUAUUUAACAAUCAAAAAAUUACUUUCUCACAUCUUUUAUUUUCCUCUUUCUUCUUGCUAAAUGGCCUCCAAGAGAAACACCAUUAGAGUGAUGCUGGAAUCAAAAGUUUUAGCUUUGUCACUAUUAGAGUGACAAAGGGAGAAUUGUUAGGGGAAAGGUGUCUGUCUAUCUGGCCUCAAAAGGUAAGCCCAAAAAGGAGAUAUCUUGGUGAUUGAAUUCUUGGCCAGUGGUUACAUUUGGAGGUUCAAUUGCCAUGAUGGCAAAGUCUUCCCUCAAAAUGUUAUUUUUGCUUGACACCCAAAUUAAAUUGCAUUUAAUUUCAUAUUCUUCCACAAAAGAUUCCAUAUUGUGUCUUUCCUUUUGAAACACACCUAGGCUAGGCAGGCAUUGAUUGCUAACAAGCCCAAGAAGAAAAGCCUAGAUGACACAAGUUAAAAAAAAUACGUGAAGGGCUGAUAGUUUUGGUAGAAAACAUUUCAUGGCCCCUGAGUGAAAAUCAUAAGCUAUCACCUGUCAGCUAGCUGAUAAAUCACCAGAUCAGAGCAAGUCUGAUUAUUCCACUUGUAAAAAUAUUAUUAUCAUUUUCACAUUGUUUGUUAAUCCUCUGUAAUUGAUUAAUUAACCACAGGGUUAUCCAGAGACUUAAUUCACCAUAUAACACUCUACUUCCCCUCCAUGAAUUCAGCACAUGCAGGUGCUUCUAGAGAAGCUGUAACCAGCAGCUCACAGAUGGAGCAGUCUCUGGUGCUGCAGAGAAGGGUUUCAUGGCAGGCUGGUCCUAAUAUCAAGAGUUAGUUGAGGCUUAAUGGUGACCUUACCCCUCCUCAAUACAAAGCUGGGGUCCCUCUGGCUCAGAAGGAACUCUUUUCUAAAUAUUUCCUUGUUCUGCCCCUGCUCUGAUUCUCACAUGCUGCAUCCCUGCUCUGCUCCACACAGUGAUGUGCCAGCCAGGAGGGAGAACCCCUCUAGGACCUCUGCCCUCACCUUACCUCAGAAAAGCUUAGUUCUUGGACAAGUUAGGGCAUUCCAUGGAAUCUGGAUCUUAGCAGGAGAAAGCUGAAUGGAGAAAGUAAGUGAGGCCUGGUGAAAGGAACACAUCAGAGUAAGACUUGCCUCAGGCCAGCAGGAAAUACAAAGUGACCUCAGAAGCUUCUGCCUUGACAUCAGGGUAUAUUUUGGGCUGAAUAAAAAAAAUAGCUCUAGGUUAGCUUCUGUGAAUAAAGAGAUUGAGACUGGAGUUGAAUGAUGAGAGACUAUUGAUGAAGGAAGAAAAUGACUGGCUACAGGCUGAAAGUCUGAAAAAAAACCCACACUUUUUCAGGACGGAUGUGAGAUGAGACGUGAAGGGCCUGGUAUAGCAUCCACAAGGGCUGAAGCAAAGCCUACCAAAAGGAAUACAGUAAUGAUGGGACCACGUCCCAUUCUCUGUGUCACAGAAUAAAGAUGUCUGACAGUAAUCAGCACAGGGGCUUCUGCUCACAGGGAACAGGUUAGGCUAGGUUGUGUUUGGGCUUUCCAUCCCAAUGGCUAGGGACAGCUAAUAGGCUUGUCCCUUUCUAAGGAAACUUCAAAUGCUUAAAUAUCCUGAAGUGCAAAAGUUCUUGAAACCUGUGCAUUACAUCUUUGCUGCCUGUGGCAUCUCAUGAGAAUCAGUGCUUACAGGUCUAACUGGUGUCCAGAUUUAGACCAGUGGAUAAGUUUAUGAGUUGUCUACCAUAUUUGCUCCUUAUUGAAAGCUAUUUAUUCUCAUUUUAUAAUACCAGCUAGAGGCCAGGAAAAUCAGAUUCUGUAUAUUUCUGAGUAUAUAUCUACAUAAACACAUAGAAUAAACUGUAUUGAAAAUAUACAAGGUUAAAGACUAAGAGAAAAGAAGUGCUAUCUACAUUUUAUAGAGGGAGCGCUGAAGGAAGAGAUGUCAUGAGUUUUAGGUCAUACUCAAUGUCUGUGAUAGAUCAGGAAACUCAGUUUUAAGAAGACCAUCCUGCCUUCAUGGAAUGGAAAGAAGAGAGCUAAUACACAAAGGAAAGAUGGGAUUGUACCUUCUGUAGGGUAUUUGUAGUGUUAAACUAACCUUAAUUCCCCGCAUGAGACAGCCCCCCUGUUUUUUCCUCAUUUUGCAUUCAGUAGUCUAUAUCAGGAAGUGUGACACUUAUUUGAUUUUAUUUUUUAAAAUAUCUUCAUUAUUGCAGAAAAUCUUAAAUAAAUCAUGCUUGGAAGCUUCUGGGAAGUUUGCAAAACCAAGCCCUACUCAGCUCCAGGCAUUUGUACAUGACGCAUACACUCAUCAGUGCUCACUGCUGUUGUUUCUCUGCCAAUCACCUUACCCAAUGUGAAGAUGUGUCACAACACUGAGCAAACAUGGAAACAGCCAUGUUUGCUUUAAUCAACCAUAUUUUCCCCAUAUGGUAACUUUACCAUAGUAGUCCAGCUUUCACGCAGAUUUUAGAGAGAAAGUUUACAAGCAAUAAGAAUUAACAGCCAGUAUAUAUGCAACAAACAAAUCAACAUCCCCCCCUCUCUAUAGUGUGUGCCUGAGUGGAUCUAAUACAAACUGUGACUAAACUGUGGUUGCAUUUUCAUGAGAUAUUUUGCCUAAAGAUGUGCAGUUUACACAGUCCAUGAUUCAUUUCAGUAAGAACCAGACCAGGGAUGACAGGAAGAAGUUCCGAGGACAAGCACAGAGAAACAGUCAUAACAGAAGAGGAAAGCCACACAAUGAUUGUGUUGCCAUGCCCUUAGAGCAGUAACAGGGCAGGGCAGUGAGUGCCUUCAUGCCCAUGUACCUGUAAAGAACUUUACUGACUCUCUUCAUCUUCACCUAUUCCUCCCCAUAAAGAGAAGAAAGGCCAGAGUAAUGUGUGGAAAAGCUCACGAUUCCUAACACCCUCUCUGUCUCAGAUUGCCUCACAGUUAGAGCUCCUGAUCCUCCUCCACACACACCUGAAGGACAGUUCUGGAAAGCACGUCUUUCCCAGAAGUCUCACCAGAGCUGAGCAGCAGGUACCUUGACAGAAGUAAUUCUCACAGCUGUCUGGUUCAUGUGUUGUUAAUAUCAGCACAUAAUUUCCACUGGCAUAGAUUAGGAGUAUUAAUGGCAACAGAACAAUGAAUGUCAGUACAAUCAGAAUUUGUCAUGCCCCCAAAUAGCUUGUUUCCAAAUUAUAGAACAGUUGUGUGGUGAAUGGAAUUGGGCUGUGAUAAUUUGUAUGUAUGAACUAUAUUUUAAGACCCACUUGUUUUUACAUCUCAUUCAAACACUGCCAGGGUGGAUGCUGAGUGGAUGGAGGAGCAUACAUACAUUCUGUUUCAGAGAGGCUUCUCUUCUCAUCCUGCAGUGUGGCUGAGGGAUCUGUCUCUCCUCUGGGUAUUCAUUUUCAGUAAGACUUGGAAAGGAGAAGACAAACCAAACACAGCACAGCAUCUGAGGACAUAAUGUUUUCAGAUUUGGCUGGCAGUGGUAGUCUGUUGUUCUGUCAAAACAAAGAUGAUGUGACAGCUCUGCCUGUGAGUCUUUGCCCGGAUUUCUCCUUCCUUCCUUUCACUUGCCCUUCUCUUUUUCCAUCAGCAGCAUCACCUCAAUCAAAUUUGGUAAAGGAAGUGAGGGAUAUUAUCUCAGAGAUACCAAGUUCCUGCAGUUUUUACAAAAAUCAGAAAGAGGCCCUGCUUGAGCCCACACUAGGAAGCAGCCAGUCAUUACGUACACAGCUCCCAGGUGCUUCAGUAAUUUGGUGCUUUUUGUCCAGUGCUUUUCUGCUCUUUGCCCUUGAGAGGUCAAACACCAGUGUUGCCAGUGGGAUGGAGUGGGACACAGGAAGUGUGUGGAGGGAUUACAGGAGUGCUGGAUGCAGGAGGUAGAGCUCUGCAGCAGGGGUAGAAGUGGAGCUGAGGAUGUGUACAGUAUGUGUGAGUAUGGCUCCUAAAGUUGGUGAAAAGCGGAGGGAAUCCAGAGGAAAAAACCUUUCCUAUGAUAUUAACUGAUCUUUUUUUUUUCCCCCGUUAGAGUGAAUUAAAAGCAGUAAAUCUAA